GUCAGGUUGUUUUAUUGAGUUUAUGUGUUAGAGAGAGCUCGUAUGGGAGCUUAUUCUUGAGAUUCAUCUUGAUGUAUAUUUUGGGUGAGAGUAUGAGUCGCUCCUUCGAUUUUUGUGAGAGAGGCGAGUGACCUUUCUUUAGUAUCUCUGGAUCCUUGCUCUAUCCAUCAUCCCAUCUGUUUUGGAUGUGACUACUUUCCAUGCUUUGAUG
rnacentral:lncRNA from 1 species